GACGAACGCUGGCGGCGUGCUUAACACAUGCAAGUCGAACGGAAAGGCCCUGCUUUUGUGGGGUGCUCGAGUGGCGAACGGGUGAGUAACAUGUGAGUAACCUGCCCUUGACUUUGGGAUAACUUCAGGAAACUGGGGAUACUACCGGCUAGGAGCUCCUGCUGCAUGGGGGGGGUUGGACAGUUUCGGCGGGUGGGGAUGGACGUGCGGCUUAUGAGCUUGUUGGUGGGGUAGUGGCAUACCGAGGCUUUGACGGGUAGUCGGCCUGGGAGGGUGGCCAGCGACAAGAGUACUGAGGUACGGAGCAGUGGCGAACGGGGGACAAUGGUGGGGAGUAUGACACAACGGUCGGGAGCGUGAGACAACAGCGCUGCGUGCGUAAAGACGGCCUUGGGGGUAUAAACCGCAUUCGCCUAAUACGAAGCGUGAGUGACGGUAAUGGGUGAAGAAGCACCGGCUAACUACGUG
rnacentral:rRNA from 1 species